ACGGCCACAUUACAUUAAGACUCCGGUUACCGUAUGAUCGCCGAAGUUAAGCAACGUCGAGCUUGGUUAGUAUCUAGAUGGGUAACCGCUUGGGUGUGCCAGGUGCUGUAUG